UACGGGGGGGGCAAGCGUUGUUCGGAAUUACUGGGCGUAAAGGGCUCGUAGGUGGCCAACUAAGUCAGACGUGAAAUCCCUCGGCCUAACCGGGGAACUGCGUCUGAUACUGGAUGGCUUGAGAUUGGGAGAGGGAUGCGGAAUUCCAGGUGUAGCGGUGAAAUGCGUAGAUAUCUGGAGGAACACCGGUGGCGAAGGCGGCAUCCUGGACCAAUUCUGACGCUGAGGAGCGAAAGCCAGGGGAGCAAACAGG
rnacentral:rRNA from 1 species